rnacentral:rRNA from 1 species
UACGGGGGGGGCAAGCGUUGUUCGGAAUUACUGGGCGUAAAGGGCGCGUAGGCGGCCUGCUAAGUCGGAUGUGAAAUCCCUCGGCUCAACCGAGGAACUGCGCUUCAUACUGCAUGGCUUGAGGGAGACAGGGGUAAGCGGAACUGAUGGUGGAGCGGUGAAAUGCGUUGAUAUCAUCAGGAACACCGGUGGCGAAAGCGGCUUACUGGGUCUCUUCUGACGCUGAGGUACGAAAGCUAGGGGAGCGAACGGG